CGGGGUGUAGCUCAGUUGGUAGAGCGCAUGGCUGGGGGUCAUGAGGUCGCACGUUCAAGCCGUGUCACCCCGA
rnacentral:tRNA from 1 species